UGGGUUCCUGACAUAAAGUAGUUAAAUGA
rnacentral:piRNA from 1 species